rnacentral:rRNA from 1 species
UACAGAGGUGUCAAACGUUGUCCGGAAUUACUGGGCGUAAAGGGCGCGUAGGCGGCCUUAUAAGUCAUUUGUGAAAGCUCUGGGCUCAACCCAGGAAUUGCAAGUGAUACUGUAAGGCUUGAGUUCGGUAGAGGAGGGCGGAAUUCCAGGUGUAGCGGUGAAAUGCGUAGAUAUCUGGAGGAACACCCGUGGCGAAGGCGACUACCUGGCCUGUUCUUGACGCUGAGGCGCGAAAGCUAGGGGAGCAAACGGG